rnacentral:rRNA from 1 species
UACAGAGACCUCAAGCGUUAUCCGGAUUUAUUGGGCGUAAAGAGCAUGUAGGCGGAUAUAUUAGUCGGAUGUCAAAUCUUCGAGCUCAACUUGAAAACUGCAUUCGAAACGGUAUAUCUAGAGACAGUCAGAGAUCAAUGGAACGUAUGGUGUAGCAGUGAAAUGCGUUGAUAUCAUACGGAACACCAAAGGCGAAGGCAUUUGGUUAGGGCUGUUCUGACGCUGAGAUGCGAAAGCGUGGGUAGCGAAUGGG